CCUACGGGCGGCAGCAGUGGGGAAUAUUGGACAAUGGGGGCAACCCUGAUCCAGCCAUGCCGCGUGUGUGAAGAAGGCCCUCGGGUUGUAAAGCACUUUCAGUGAGGAAGAACGCCUGGUGGUUAAUACCCAUCAGGAAAGACAUCACUCACAGAAGAAGCACCGGCUAACUCCGUGCCAGCAGCCGCGGUAAUACGGAGGGUGCGAGCGUUAAUCGGAAUUACUGGGCGUAACGCGCGCGUAGGUGGCUUGAUAAGCCGGUUGUGAAAGCCCCGGGCUCAACCUGGGAACGGCAUCCGGAACUGUCAAGCUAGAGUGCAGGAGAGGAAGGUAGAAUUCCCGGUGUAGCGGUGAAAUGCGUAGAGAUCGGGAGGAAUACCAGUGGCGAAGGCGGCCUUCUGGACUGACACUGACACUGAGGUGCGAAAGCGUGGGUAGCAAACAGGAUUAGAUACCCGGGUAGUC
rnacentral:rRNA from 1 species